ensembl:snoRNA small nucleolar RNA SNORA32
UGGUCAUUACCAAGGCUUUUAGAAUGCAGUCUCUCAUUUGCUGUGCACAUGACUAAAAAACAUUUUCCCACUAAGUUUUUUUUUUCUGCUAUGUUGGCAGUGUUCAGCUUAUUUGGGAACAUUU